UACGUAUGGUGCAAGCGUUAUCCGGAUUUACUGGGUGUAAAGGGAGCGUAGACGGAGUGGCAAGUCUGAUGUGAAAACCCGGGGCUCAACCCCGGGACUGCAUUGGAAACUGUCAAUCUGGAGUACCGGAGAGGUAAGCGGAAUUCCUAGUGUAGCGGUGAAAUGCGUAGAUAUUAGGAGGAACACCAGUGGCGAAGGCGGCUUACUGGACGGUAACUGACGUUGAGGCUCGAAAGCGUGGGGAGCAAACAGG
rnacentral:rRNA from 2 species